rnacentral:lncRNA from 1 species
UUAUUUAUUUUUGAGACGGAGUCUCGCUCUGUCGCCUAGGUUGGAGUGCAAAGGUGUGAUCUCAGCUUACUGCAACCUCUGCCUCCUGGGGUCAAGCGAUUCUCCUGCCUCAGCCUCCUGAAACGCUGGGAUUCCAGGUGCCUGCCACCAUGCCUGGCUAAUUUUUUUUGUAUUUUUAAUAGAGACAGGGUUUCACCAUGUUGGCCAGGCUGGUCUUGAACUUCUGACCUCAAGUGAUCCACCCGCCUCAGCCUCCCAAAGUGCUGGGAUUAUAGGUGUGAGCCACUGCGCUCGGCCCUUUCUGUGCUUUUAAAGAACAUAAUACUAUGGUAGCUAUAUUGCUGACAUGAAAGAACACAACUUUAAUUUUGUCUUAGAAUACUGUGGCAUAUAAAUUAGAAUUCAGA